rnacentral:rRNA from 1 species
UACGAGGGGGGCAAGUGUUGUUCGGAAUCACUGGGCGUAAAGGGUGCGUAGGCGGGUUUCUAAGUCAGGUGUUUAAUCCCGGGGCCCAACCCCGGACAGGCACUUGAAACUGGGAAUCUUGAAUAGUGGAGAGGUCCGUGGAAUUGGGGGUGUAGCGGUGGAAUGCGUAGAGAUCCCCAAGAACACCAGUUGCGAAGGCGGCUGGCUGGACACAUAUUGACGCUGAGGCUCGAAAGCAUGGGGAGCAAACAGG